GCGGACCGCUGGGGGGGGCAAGGGGGGGCCUUGGCCUCCCUCAACUUUUCCACAGCUCUUAUAUAUAAGUUAGAUUUGUUAAGUUAAAUUUCGUAUAUGUCGGUGUUUGGUCCCCCGAAAUUGGCUGGUACUGGAAACAAGAAGUUUUAAAAGGUAGAGAACCGACUUUACCGGAAUCGAAUGAAAAAAAAAGAGAGAGAGAAGAGAGAUGCGGGGUGAGGGAAGACCCAAAAAAGGCCGUCUUUGAUUCAAAUAGGGCCGUCGCAUCUGGCCGUCACUGCGCCGCCACCGUCGUCGGCCGAUUUGGUUGCCUCACCGUUGGAACCCGACUUUUUUUCCUUCUCCCUUCGGGAAUCCUCUAGAACCCACGGCUUCAGGUAUGCUUCACUUCCAACUCUAACCAAUCUUCUAUAAUUCUAUUCCAUCUUGUUUGGCUUCCAAGCAAAUUGAUUGCUUCUCCCCGAAGUUUUCGUUCGAGACCAUUCUUCUCAGUUCUCUCCAUGCUUAUAAGACUGCUAUUUUAUC
rnacentral:lncRNA from 1 species